AAAGGGUGCGUAGGUGGGCAAGUAAGUCAGUGGUGAAAUCUCUAGGCUUAACCCGGAAACUGCCAUUGAUACUAUUUGUCUUGAAUUCUCUGGAGGUAAGCGGAAUAUGUCAUGUAGCGGUGAAAUGCUUAGAUAUGACAUAGAACACCCAUUGCGAAGGCAGCUUACUACGGAGACAUUGACACUGAGGCACGAAAGUGUGGGGAUCAAACAGGAUUAGAUACCCUGGUAGUCCACGCCCUAAACGAUGAUUACUCGACAUUAGCGAUAUUACUGUUAGUGUCUAAGCGAAAGCAUUAAGUAAUCCACCUGGGAAGUACGACCGCAAGGUUGAAACUCAAAGGAAUUGGCGGGGGUCCGCACAAGUGGUGGAGCAUGUGGUUUAAUUCGAUGAUACGCGAGGAACCUUACCUGGGCUAGAAUGCAUUUUGACCGCGAGUGAAAGCUUGUUUUGUAGCAAUACACAAUUUGUAAGGUGCUGCAUGGCUGUCGUCGGGCUCGUGCCGUGAGGUGUUGGGUUAAGUCCGGCAAGCGAGCGCAACCCGUAUCGUUUAGUUGCCAUCAGGUAGAUGGUGGGAGCUGUAAAGAAACUGCCGUCGUAAGACGUGAGGAAGGAGGGGAUGAUGUCAAGUCAUCAUGCCCGUUAUGCCGUGGGCUACACACGUGUUACAAUGGCUAGGACAGUACGAUGCAAGACCGCAAGGUGGAGCGAACCGUCAAACCUAGCCUCAGUUCAGAUCGCAGGCUGCAACUCGCCUGCGUGAAGUCGGAAUCG
rnacentral:rRNA from 1 species